AUUGCUUCUUGGCCUUUUGGCUAAGAUCAAGUGUAGUAAGUGUGUUUUUCUUUGUUUAAAGUUGAUUUGAUUACAAACAAGUGCAAAUUUAGCCAAACACACAAACUAGUAUGCGAGUCCUUGUGUACUCAGCGCCCAGCUUCAACAGUUAUCAAUAUCUAGCCAUUGGGUUUUUGAGUCAAAAUC
ensembl:snRNA U2 U2 spliceosomal RNA